ensembl:lncRNA
GCUAGAAUCAACGAGGGGAGGUGGGGGUAGGGAGGAUGUCCAACUCCCUACGUCAUUUUUAAAAAGCGAGAGGGAGAGAGAGAGAUGUGUUCCCUAGCUCGUCCCUGGGCUCUCAACUGUAAAGUAAAAAUGACAGGGAAAAGAGAAUCUCAAAGUGGAAUUUCCCCAGGGAGCACUGAGAAAGGCACCCCUUUCACCUGCUAAGGACUGAAGGGCCAAGGCUACCUCAUCAUCAUCAUUCACUGGCAUCUGGAGACCGCGGGGCUCAGCACAGCGUUCGGAGCCUUUCCUAGCAGAAGAGGAAUGAAGGCCUGGGGGAAAAGAAGAGGAGACAGAUUAGCUCAGAUUAACUGGACAUCCUGUGGUUUAUCUGCCUCCCGACUGCAGCAAACCUUGGUAGCCUCACAAUUUCUUCGUGGCACACGUAAAGGAUAAAAGAGCCUGACAGAACAGAAAAUAGGAAAUGCAAUAGUGGAUCGAAGCCUCAUUGGAUUUCUUUUGGAACAGAAUAGGUAGGAAAAGAAAACGCUGAGCGGAGCCUGAACAGAGCAAUAGAACUUAGAAAAGCCUAAGAAUGGCAUUUCCACAGCUGGGCCUCGCAUGGCUUGGGGUUUCUCACACUUAGUGGCUCCACGGUUUGUGUUGGUGGCCCUUCCCCCCGAACGCUGUGGUGCCGGAGGGACAGGUGCUUGCCUCCGCGUGCACUCCCCAGAGUCCCGCACAUGAACCCUGAGAGAGAACUGAGCACCACUUUCAGGAACUUCAGUUUGGAAACUAAGGGUAAACUCAUGCUAGUGCCAAGUUCACGAUCCAGCCCGAUUCCUGUGUUUCUGAAAGGUGGGAAGAGUUCGGGCCCAACUGCUUCCUCUACAGAGGAAAGAAAAGAUGAAAGGCCUGAAGGGCCUCUCUUAGACCACGUCAGACAGGGGCUUCUCCCUCCAUUCUGGAUCCCGGUGUGCGGCAGAGGCGGCCUUUGCUUCCCCAGCCCCGUUCUGUCCUGAUGUUCCAAAUCACCAGGCUCUCGAUCACACACCUCCCAGGGGUUGUUUUCUCUAAUAAGUAGGUUCAUUUUUGUACAUUGAAUUUUCCCCUGUAGCCUGCAUUUUCUACCAUUUUCCGUGUACACCAUCGAAGCUGGAUUGUGAGCCUUAUGAAAUAAUUGAGGUCUGAGAUGAGAAAUUAGGCCUGAAAGCAGAUCAGGCUGAGUCUGGAAAGGACUUUGCAGGGAGGGCUUCAUCAAUGGAACAGCCAAGAAGAGACCCACAGCUCAGUUUGCCUCUGUUCCCAACACACCUCCUAGAUGUCCACGCUAACGUCAUUUCUGCUGUUUCUUACAAUCCACAGGCACUACGGAUAGGUGACUUGUCCUACUGAGAACUGGUAGGAACUCAUAUGUCUGAUCUCCUUUGAAAAUUAAUUGUGAUGCGAGCUCCUGUGAGCACCUGGCAGGGAAGAAAAAACGGAGACAAGGAACUAGUUUUCCAAAGUAAAGAAACAUAAGAUUCCAAGAUUAGCGUUUGGUGACUGAUCUCUGAUUCAUUCAAGAAGUCUUUUCAUAAGCACCUCUUGUGUACCCAGCUCUUUGAUUCUUGCAUUUAUGCACUCAAAAAAAAUUUGUUUGGCUCCUACUAAGUUACAGUGAGACACUGGGGGGAUAGAGUGGCGAACAGUGGAAACAAAGUCCCUCUCUCUGGGGUGGGGGGUGAAGGAGGCAGAUAAUAAACAGGGAAACAAACAAGUGAGAAAAUUUCAAAACUUAAUGAGUGUUACAAAGAAAUUAAAAGAAGUUGCAGUGACUGGGCAGAGGGGCAGCAGGAGAGAACAGUUGGGCAUUCAGGAAAGGCCUUACCAAGGAAUGACAUGUACACUGCGAGCUGAAGGCUGAAAAGGAGCUGACCAUUUGAAAAUGUUCCUGGGGAAAGAAAAGAAUUAAGGCAUGUGGCCUUAUUAGCCUAUAGUUUUGUUAGAUUCAUCAAAAAAUAAUUAGUUGCCAAUGCAAGGGAAGAGAGUCAAUCUCUAAGUGCUAUGGGACUUUAGAAGAAAAUGAUCACUGAUGAGAAAAAACUAGUUAAGGAAUACGUCAUGGAUAUGGAUCUUGCCCUUGACCUGGAAUAUAUUUGGAUGAGUGGAGUGAAGGCAUGGAAUUGGGCAUGUGAGCAGUAAGGAUGUGGACAUCACCUCUCUGUUAGAUGUAAGGGGCCCAAGGAAGAAGGGCCAAGAAUGCCACUGACAGAGGUGGGAAGAUGCUUAGAAUGGGAAGGGGCCUUCAGGUCAAGUAGCCCCUUGUUCCUCAACAUAUGGUCUCUGAACCAGUAACAUCAGCAUCACCUGGGAGCGUCUUAGAAACGCAGCAUCUUGGGCUCCAUCCCAGACCUGCUGAGUCAGAAUGUGCGUUUCAGCAAGAUGCCUGAUCUGGGUGCACCUUCAACUUGGAGAACCACUGUUCCAGUCCAGUCCUCUCAUUUUAGAGAUGAGGGAACAGGAUUGAUCUGAUCCCAUCUUUGUGUGCCUGCAUGUGUGACAGAGACAGAGAAUUUUGCUUUCAACUUUUUGUUUCAAAUAAAGAACCCAGAG